rnacentral:rRNA from 1 species
UACGUAGGCAGCGAGCGUUGUUCGGAGUUACUGGGCGUAAAGGGUGUGUAGGCGGUUUUCUAAGUUUGGUGUGAAAUCUCCCGGCUCAACCGGGAGGGUGCGCCGAAAACUGGGAGACUAGAGUGCGGGAUGGGAGAGUAGAAUUCCUGGUGUAGCGGUGAAAUGCGUAGAUAUCAGGAGGAAUACCGGUGGUGAAGACGGCUCUCUGGACCGCCACUGACGCUGAGACACGAAAGCGUGGGGAGCAAACAGG